GUCUGCAACUCGACUACAUGAAGCUGGAAUCGCUAGUAAUCGCAGAUCAGGAUGCUGCGGUGAAUACGUUCCCGGGUCUUGUACACACCGCCCGUCACACCAUGGGAGUCGGAAAUGCCCGAAGCCGGUGACCCAACCAAAAGGAGGGAGCCGUCGAAGGCAGGUCUGAUAACUGGGGUGAAGUCGUAACAAGGUAAC
rnacentral:rRNA from 1 species